GGCCUGAUGGUCUAGUAGUAUGAUUCCUUGUUAGGGCAUGCCUAUCGAGGAGGUCCCGGGUUCAAUUCCCGGUCAGGCCC